AACGAACGCUGGCGGCAUGCCUAACACAUGCAAGUCGAACGAGACCUUCGGGCCUAGUGGCGCACGGGUGCGUAACGCGUGGGAACUUGCCCUUAGGUUCGCAAUAACUCCCCGAAAGGGGUGCUAAUACCGGUUAAUGUCUUCGGACCAAAGAUCUAUUGCUUUUGGAUGGGCCCGCGUUGGAUUAGCCGGUUGGUAGUGUACAAGCAUACCAACGCGACGAUGCAUAGCUGGUCUGAGAGGAUGAUAAGCCACACUGGGACUGAGACACGGCCCAGACUGCGACGCAGCGGAGCAGUAGGGAAUAUUAGGGGAUGAGCGAUAACCUAGUACAGCAGUGCGGCGGGAGUGGUGAAGGCCUUAGGAUUGUAAAGCUCUUUUACCCGAGAUGAUAGUGACGGUACCGGGUAAAUAAGCACCGGCUAACUACGUG
rnacentral:rRNA from 1 species